UCAUGCAAGUCCUUGAACUGCAUUAUGGCAUUGUAUAGCUACAAAAAAUGUAUAGUGACUGUAAUUAAAUAUUAUAUAAACGAAUAUUAUAUGGAAGAAUACAUUUUUCAUUAUUAGGUAGUAUUUUAGCAAAAUUUAUAAGUGGAUAUAUCAAUAACAAUAAUUAACAUGAUCUCAAUAUAUUAAAAGGACAACAUAGGAUUUUUUGCUUCAGUUUUGCUCACAUUAAGUACGUAGAAUUAAUCUUGUACAAAGCAUAUUCUUCAUGUAUAAUAAACGAUUUGAAGAUUGCCCGUAAUCCUAAUCCAAAGCAAGUUAAAAUACCAUGCUAUACGUGGAAUGUAUUAUAUUAGUACUUACGCGAAAUAGAAUGCAACUUAAGGACAAGACGCAAACUAAGAGUAAUGGGAAAUACCACAUAUCAAACGAAAGUAACAAGCCUUUGCAGAACCUUAAACCCCAAGAAAUGCCUAUUUAGUAAGUUACACUUAUUCUCUAACCUAUAAAUAUUUGGAUGUAAUUAUUCAGGCUAAGGUGAAUAUUAACGAUUAAUAUUAUAUAAUCAAUAGAAAACAUAUUAAAAUAUUUCGAAACUAACUCUAAGGUUCUCCUAUGAAUGUAAAUUGAAAGACAAAUAUUCCGAUGCAUAUAUUGUAUUCUUUGAACAACAGGAAGUUGUAGCGUAUGGAUAGGUACCGUAUCUCGAAUUAAAUAACUGAAAACAAUUUAGAUAAUGUAACUAGUAUAUAAACUCCAUUAUUAAGAAAAAUAGUGCGCUCGUUAACCUAACAAUUUUAUAUGUUGCACAUGAAUGUUUCAUUACUGUAGUGAAGAACGUGAAAAUCGCAAGUAGCGACCAAACUCC